GCAAGAGUAAGACCUGGGAAGCCCAACUUGGUUGUUCUUUGAACUCCCCAAGCGCUCAUGUGUUUUUGAGUCACCUCAGAUGCUUUUGGAAAGUGGGGGCAGAAAGGGAGAUGAACUUUUGUCACCCUGAGGAAUGUAAGAAUUCUGCCUGAAGGGGUCCUACCCCAGGGCGUAGAAGCCUUGCGGCUGUGAAAUGUGGAGGGCAGUGAGCCUGGGCGCUGGCAAAACCCAAAGUGAACUGUGGCUUUGGGAUGGAUCUGAUCACAUACGGUGUUUGGUGUUUGAGUGAAUAUUAAGAACCACUCAAAAGAAACAGCACAAGACCAAGGCAGGAAG